GUAGGACUAAAAUGAAAAAAUUGGGGAUAAGAACACCAUAAGUGCCAUAAUUUUUUGUACGCUACUCAUGUCAUAACUUUUCAUACGACGCUCACUUGAGCACCGUAACUUUAUUUAUUUAUUUUUAUCACUUAAGUGUCAUGACUUUUCUUUUUCGAUCACUAGAUUGCCCGGACUUCUAAAUAACGGCCACCGCAAGUAUCAAGUAUCGUUGUGGUGAACGCUUUUUAAAAAGUAAGGGUAUCAUUCUAUGUAUGUUACAAGUCAUGACACUUAAGUGAUUAAAAAAGAAAGUUACGACAUGAGUGCAAUACAAAAAUUAUGACACCGUGGUGUCACUUACCCCCGGAAGACGUGUGCAGUGCCUUGGCAAGAACGAGACCUUGUAUGCACGAGAGAGAGAGAGAGAGAGAGGGGGGGUGGCUUUGG
rnacentral:lncRNA from 1 species